CCUUCGGUAGCUCAGCUGGCAGAGCGGAGGACUGUGGUAAAUUUCCGUGUAGUUAUCCUUAGAUCGCUGGUUCGAUUCUAGCUCGAAAGA
rnacentral:tRNA from 1 species